UCGGAAGCCCCCGAGACCAUCACCGACGCCGAGCUGCGGGUAACUCUCACAGUGGAAGAGUUGGUUCCUUCCGGUGGAUUCGUGGUCUCGCUGACUUCAAGAAUGGAGCUGCGGGCUUUUGCCGUCAGUGUUUCAGCUCUUAAAGACGGGCCGGACACAAACAACUAUGGACAGGCUUUUCCCAAAGACUUGAAAAGAAGGGACAUCAGAUGAGCCUCUUAAAGUCCCUAAAGAUCAGGCAAGGUGAAGAAAGAACCUUGAGAGCGCCUUGAAGACAGACAGACCGGCAGGCUGAGCUGCUAACUGGUCGCCCACACCGGAUUACCUGAGGGUCGCCCACACCAGAUUACCUGAAGAGUAUGUGUGUCAGUCAAGUGUCUGGCCAGGUUUGGAAGCCAGGAAAAAGUGAGAGACAGCAGCAAACAGCUCCAUCACUUGGUUAGACCCCACUCCCGGAGCAGUAGUGGCAAGGAAAGCCAGCCUGGAAUGCAGUGGCUGCAGCUGUCCCCUCGGCCUAAGGCCCUUGGACACUGGGCCCGUGCAACUAACUACUCCCACUCUGAGCCCAUGUUCCGCGGGCAGCCCCCAACAUCUGUGCAGAUGGAGGACUGGGGUCACCCUGCAGCUAUACCAGCCAGCCUGCUGAGAAGAUUCUGCAUCUCCUAAGAUGUCGCUUGCUAUUCUGACAUCAUAUCUUGGUCUCUUUUGUUUAAUUAUGACAAAGCAUUCUCUGCAAAAUGCCGCUGUUCUCAUCAUCCUGGUCCAAGCCAAGUUCUGAAUCUGAGAGUGGGACACCAGCCCGAAGCCAAAGGUGAGCUCUUCACCUGGGAAAACCAGCCUGGGUUCCUGGAUUCUUCUCAGAAGAGAACUAAGACUAUUAGAAAAUAGAAUUCUGCAAUACUUUGUUUUCACAGGUGUAGGAAAAUUGUAUUCGAUUUUUACCCUUGGCCUGUUUUAUUAUAAUGACCUCUCUUUUUCCUGCCUUUCAAUCCAGCUGAGACAAUGUAUGCAUGUUUACAUCAUGUGUGUAUAUACAUCUACUUGCACAUAGAUGUAUAUAGUUAUAUAUGUUUAAUGUAUAUAUGAAUAAAAUGUGCAUACAGCAGACUUAGGGACUUCUCUGGAGGGAGGAAUAAAGGUUGUAAAGUAGAAGAAAAUGUAUCAA